rnacentral:rRNA from 1 species
GAUGAACGCUAGCGGCAGGCUUAAUACAUGCAAGUCGAGGGGCAUCAAGGUACACGAAAGUGUAUUGUUGGCGACCGGCGGACGGGUGAGUAAUAGGUAGGUAACCUACCUCAUACUGAGGCAUAGCUGGGAGAAAUUCCAGGUAAUUCCUCAUGAGGUUAUAUGACACAUGUGAUAUAAUCAAAGGUAUCGCAAGGUACUGGUAUGAGAUGGGCUUACUGACCAUUAGCUAGUUGGUGAGAUAAGAGCUCACCAAGGCGAAGAUGGUUAGGGGUUUUGAGAGAGAGAUCCCCCACAUUGGAACUGAGAUACGGUCCAGACUCCUACGGGAGGCAGCAGUAGGGAAUAUUGGGCAAUGGGCGAAAGCCUGACCCAGCCAUGCCGCGUGAAGGAAGACGGCCUUAUGGGUUGUAAACUUCUUUAACUAUCGAACGUAGUAACGUUAGUACGUUAGAGUACUAAAUUAGGAAGGUUAGGUAAGUUAGGUUAAAAAGGCCAACCGGUACGUAACCUAAAACGGUCGACCCGGACGUAACC